GCCCCGUGGUAACAGGAACAUGACACCAGCAGAGCAGAGUGGAAAACAUUAACCGAGUACUUAAGGAGAUACAGAAAGGGUCUAAGCCAGCACACCGGGGUCUUAGGGUCUCGUGUGGCAGACGAUUCUGAGAUAAAACUCAACAGCCCAGCUGCACCGUAAAGCCUCAAAGGUGUCAUUAAACUGAAGGUCAGCUCUUCCUUACUGCCAAACCCUCACCUGAGAAACCAAUCACAGGAGAUUUCUAAUGUGGCUUCCCUCCACGUCUCCUUUGUCCAUCCACCAAGGUGACCACGUGUAGUAGAAGGCUGAUAAACCACAACGCAGCUGAAAUAGCAGAACAUUGAGGUCAAGACCGGGAAGAGUUCAAAGUCUAGUAGAAGGAAAGGAGCAGAGGUUGAAGUAACAAAUAUUAUAGUUAAUGAGAAAUCAAGGAAAGGGUGCUGAACUCCUCAGCUGGCUCUGCUCGGGACACAGGAAACAGAGCAGCCAUGGAAGGGGAAGCACAAGGAAAAUCAAGUCAUUGAAGCUGUCGGAAAGUGGAGUGAAAAGACCAUGAGAAUAGAAGUCCAUGGAAUCUAAAACAACAAUGAAAUCUUGCCAAAGGUGAUGUGUUUCUCCUGUGAUAUGCAGUUUUGGUUAACAAUGUUGCUCUACAUCACUGCGGUAUUUGCAACAUCAGAAUCUAGUUUUUUUGUGCUAAAGUUUACAUUCAGAGAAAGGAAGAAUGUUCACAGUGAGCAUGAAGCAUGUGGAGGCUUUGUCAGUCCUCGGCAAGGAUUUUCGAGAUUGCCUUUGUGUCUUGUAAGUGAGCAUGUGAGAGGGAAUAUAAGUGGGGUCCUCAGAGAAUCCAGUGUUCUGUCUAGUUUGUGGAUUUUAAGGUUUUACUUCCAUGAUUUACCUCUGGGACAAUUUAUUAAAUAUUUUGUUUAAGAGAUAAUUUGAUUUGGAAGCUUCUUCAGAAGAAUGAAAAACACUGUCCAGCAGCCCUGAGAAAUCUUACUUCCAUUCUUUUGGUGCCUCUCAGAGGCAUUCAAGGUGCCUCUCAAUGAACGAUAUUGUUUAAGUCAAAUGCUCCUCAGAGGGGUCAUCAAAGGCUCAAAUUAUUCUUGGUGAAGUAAUGCCAUUUAGAGAUAUAGUGGCUUGAAUAAUGAAGAUAAGGACAGUACAUAUAAGAAAUAGGACUUUUCCCUGGAAGAGCAGAGGAUUUAGACUUAGAGGAUCCAAUGAGAACUGACAACAGUAGACCAGAAACAACACUUACACGCUUUGUGUCUUGGGUCUCUAACCUACUGUGUCUGUCUUCCUUUGAAUUCAGACCCCAAAAUUUUUGUUUCCCCCACCUGCUACUAGCAGGUGGAAAACUAGAGAGAAUGCUCUCUCUGAAUCAAAACCAAGUUUUCUGGACAAAAGCCAAUGCUAAAGGACAAAUGUAUCAAGUUUCAUUGGUGACCAACACCAAAACCUGUCCAAACAGACACUAGACCAGUGAGAACUUCAAAUUUCACCCAGCUGUGAGUCUAGCUGGAACUAUAUAUUUGUGGAUCUGUGCCUUUUAUUCUUUUAUUCUCCUUCUUGUGACAAAUAACACUAAUAGAUAGCACAACACAAAACAGAAGCACAGAGAGAGCAAAAAAGGAUGGAAAGAAAUGCCUUAAUUCUACCAAGGAUGUCCAACAAAUGGAAACCAAUAACAAAACCCAUGUACCAAUCUGUAAAUAAAUAACCAAGGCAAAGAAAGCAGUUUCAGACCUUGUACCAACUUAACAUGCUGUCACGGACUUGACAAGCCAUGAGCAGGGAGGCGUAAGGGGACUUUGUCGUUACUGCACCACGUAGAAGGCAGGGAUCCACAGCUUUGAGCAAUGUACACUGCAUCUUAAUGGGAACUCAAAGAAAACACAAAUCAACAAAGCUCACCCAAUGGGAGCAAACAUCGGCUAUUUAUUCAAAGUUUUCUAUAUAGCAAAGGAGUCAUCCACUUGCGUUUUGGAAAGACUUAACGAUGGGCAAGGGGAUAUGAAGAUUUUAUAGUGAAAAUAAAAAGGCAUGGCUUCAAGUAUGACAUGUUUGGAAGGUGUCCAUUUGGGGAAACUGGAGAGAGACUAGUAACUAGAGGGCAGGCAUCUUAUGUGAUUGGUUUGGGAACACAUUGUAUUUUCCCAGUUGGUCCUGAGAUGGAAGCAGGUGCAAAAAAUAGAGAAGUUGUCAGUAAUUGACCAAAUCCUGAC
ensembl:lincRNA